GAUAUGUAUUUAUUAAAGAACAUUUAAUUAUGCUAAGCUACUCUGUACAUUUUAUGGAUAAGUUUAAUGUUUAGCAUCUAUUUAUGCCCUUAUUUAUUUGAAAUUUGUCUUAUGCACAUUGAACAACAAGUUUACAGUAUUUUGAUCAAAAUUAGACAUAACAUCAUAUGAGGGUAUGUUAAGUAAAUUUAUUGGUUGGACGAUAUUGAGUUAGUAUUUGGUAAUGUAUUGAUCUCAUCGUUACGAUUUUUGCUAAAUAUACUUAAUUUUUGUUCUCUCUUUUAUUAAUGCAAGGACCGGGUUUUUUUGACAUGCAUAAAUUUGAACAAAUCAACACUCUUACUUCAGAUGGAGCUGGCAUAGAAAGUAGUAUUAGCUUACCGGGUGUUGCUCAUGAUUAUAUGAGAUUUAUUUGUCGUGGAUCCAGGUGACUGGUGGUCAAUUGAUGAAGGGAGUCGGGAGGAGCAAGUUUAGCUAUAUUGUGCACUAGGAUCUAGGCAAUGCAUCACAUUAAACACAUGGACUGGACGAGGUUGGACUGUUUGAUGAAGUGAAAGAACGUUAUCGUGGAAGUCAUAUUUGUUGUCGCUUAACAAUUUAUGAAGUGGAAUUUAUUAUGAAAUAAUUAUAGUAAUCUUUCUUAUUAUUUGGAAUGAUUGAUUUAUUA